rnacentral:rRNA from 1 species
UACGUAGGGGGCGAGCGUUGUCCGGAUUUAUUGGGCGUAAAACGCUUGUAGGUGGCCACGUCAAGUCGGAUGUGAAAUCUCCCGGCUCAACUGGGAGGGGUCAUUCGAUACUGGCGGGCUCGAGGCCGGUAGGGGGAAGCGGAAUUCCCGGUGUAGUGGUGGAAUGCGUAGAUAUCGGGAGGAACACCAGUGGCGAAGGCGGCUUCCUGGACC